rnacentral:lncRNA from 1 species
CUUCCACCUUGUGCAGGGUUCAGCAUCCCUGGGAAAUGAACUCUGUCCAUCUUGUACUGCUCGUCUGCAUCGGAGCAGUAAGCUCUCUCUCCAUGGGCCUGGCUCACCACCUCCAGGCCCU